AUCGCUUCUCAGCCUUUUGGCUAAGAUCAAGUGUAGUAUCUGUUCUUAUCAGUUUAAUAAGUUUUUCUUGGGGAAAGGAGAAGCCUGGAUGGGGUUUUAAUAGCUGGGGACUCUGAAAAUGCUUAAGGUGCUAAGAUUCUGAAAGGAAAAGAGGAAAUGAGUAUUA
ensembl:snRNA U2 U2 spliceosomal RNA